CGCCCUACCACCGAGACCAGAGAUAGCGGUACCCUGAGUCGGCCUUACUUAGGGAUGUAAAGAAUGAAAAGAAUCAAGUUGUAAUAAUAUUGUUAAAUUGGAUUGUAUUUGGAAGUUAAGUGAAAGCUAAUGUUGGAAUCUAAUGAGAUUUGUGAUGUAAAAAUGAAUGAAUGUGAAUGCAUGUAAUAACAUAGGAUGUGUUAUGUUGUUUGAUACCUUCCAUUAUGCAAUCCUUGAUUGAAAUGUGUUCCUGGUUGGAACUUCGCACAUUGUAUUGAUUGCUAUGCCUUGAACGUACAGGGGAGACUCUGU
rnacentral:lncRNA from 1 species